GUUUGAUUGUGGCUGGAUAUUGUUCAGCACCAAGGACAGAUGUGUUUGCCUGUGGCUGGAUAUUGUUCAGCACCAAGGACAGAUGUGUUUGCCU
rfam:Branchiostoma floridae genomic scaffold BRAFLscaffold_35, whole genome shotgun sequence.